CUAACGCGUGAUACGCGGACACUGCUUGGUGGGUAGUUUGACUGGGGUGGUCGCCUCCAAAAGCGUAACGGAGGCUUCCAAAGGUGCCCUCGGGUCGAUUGGUAACCGACCUCAAAGAGUGCAAUGGCAUAAGGGCGCUUGACUGGGAGGCAGACAUGCCGAGCAGGCAGGAAACUGGGGCAUAGUGAUCCGGCGGAUGUGUAUGGAAACUCCGUCGCUCAAAGGAUAAAAGGUACUCCGGGGAUAACAGGCUGAUCCCCCCCAAGAGCUCAUAUCGACGGGGUGGUUUGGCACCUCGAUGUCGGCUCGUCACAUCCUGGGGCUGGAGAAGGUCCCAAGGGUUGGGCUGUUCGCCCAUUAAAGAG
rnacentral:rRNA from 1 species